AGAGUUUGAUCCUGGCUCAGAUUGAACGCUGGCGGCAGGCCUAACACAUGCAAGUCGAGCGGCAGCGCGGGGGUAACCUGGCGGCGAGCGGCGAACGGGUGAGUAAUACAUGGGAAUCUGCCUAGUAGUGGGGGAUAACUUCGGGAAACUGGAGGUAAUACCGCAUACGCCCUACGGGGGAAAGCAGGGGAUCUUCGGACCUUGCGCUAUUAGAUGAGCCUGCGUCCGAUUAGCUAGUUGGUGGGGUAAAGGCCUACCAAGGCGACGAUCGGUAACUGGUCUGAGAGGAUGAUCAGUCACACUGGAACUGAGACACGGUCCAGACUCCUACGGGAGGCAGCAGUGGGGAAUAUUGGACAAUGGGCGCAAGCCUGAUCCAGCCAUGCCGCGUGUGUGAAGAAGGCCUUCGGGUUGUAAAGCACUUUAAGCGGGGAGGAAGGCCUGAUGGCUAAUAUCCAUCAGGAUUGACGUUACCCGCAGAAUAAGCACCGGCAAACUUCGUG
rnacentral:rRNA from 1 species